UGAAUGUGCAUAAGAGUUAAGAGAAGUGUUCGAGAGUUUGAGAGACAUCAUAUCUAUAAGAGGGAAGAAGUAGAGAGUGAGUGAUUGUAUGAGAAGUUUUGAAUCAAUAUGGAAAAUCUCUCUGAAUGCAGGUCAACUAUUAGGGGCUGAACCACAUAAAUCAUGGUCUCAGGGAGUUGAUUUGGUGCUGAGGGUCCACAAAGCUACCAUGGACACGUAGAGAUUUGAUAGCUGUUAUUUCUACCUCUGCCACAUGUCGCGAUUAGGACAGAGGUCAGUCAAAUUGAUGAAAGCAUAUGAAGAGCUCAUAUUUAAUCUUCAUGAGUAUGUUUAGCCCUGUUCAAAAAAAAGAGUAUGUUUAGCACAUUCUUAAGCUUCUCCUUACUCUCAGGAUGCCUGAAAGUCUUUUCUCAAGUCUAUCUGGUGGGUAAUAUCGAUGAAGAUGAUGACACCCACCAUACCUUGCUUGCUUCAAGGUCGAUCUCUUGUAUCCUCCUCCUGCCGAAGACUUUAAGAGUAAACCUUGUCAUUCCAACUUUCAUCGAUCGAGUUUCAGUUGCUUUUUCUGUUGAUCCAGGUGAGAAAGCUUACUAAUUAAGGCAACCUCUGCUUUUGUCUAUCUCCCAAUAUAAGAAGCAUGUUGCUUUGCUCUUAUAGUAGUACUAAUGGGCGUACUUUAGAACAAAUUUCUAGCGAAGGUCUUGACAGUUUGGAACUGAAAGGUUUGGUUCAUUAAUAAUAUCUAGUAGUUUCAUCAUGCUAUUCUGCUUUUGAGCUUGUUGUACUUACCAGAGCAUUUCUACGAUAAAAAAAUUCAGAAUAGUAAAGCAGUCGUAGUAUGCUCCCUUUAUUUGCUCUAGUGCUCAAGUGAUAGCUGAGCGCAUGCUGUUUGCAUCUGAAUUAUAUAUAAAAGACUCUUAAAAACAACUACUUAAUUCUCCAUUACAAAGAAUAUACAUUACAUCAGAACCUAAUUAUUAUUUGUCAGUGACAUAAGUGUCGAAAAUAAUAGUAAUGGAAAUUUCGAAUGGUGUGGAAAAGGGUUAAAAGUUCAAUCUCAUAAGAAAGAAAAAUCUCCAUUUACAUCAAAAUCUCUUUCAGAUUUCUCUACCUCACUAUCACCACCGUUUUUCUUAUAAAUUAUCCACAAACACACUCACAAAUUCCACACAGUACCUAACAUCAUAUGCAAAUUUUGUUUUCACUGCAACCAGAGUCUGUUCUCUGGCAUAAAAAAACACUUCAUAAAGUAAGAAGGUAUCACAUUUUGAAUUUAAAUCAUUAAAAUAUUUAUUUCUAAUUAAAAAAACAAAUGAAACUUGUUUCCAAAUCAGCAGCAAUCCUAGGUGCUAUCCCUGAUUGUUGUCCAACUUUAACAUGAAUUAAUAUGAACUCGUGCUAAUUCAAAUGAAACUUGCUUCCAAAUCAGCAGCUUCCAGCCGUAUCUGCAUUCUAAAUAACAGAAAAUCAAGAACUCAUGAAGUGAGAUUGAUAGACAUGUUAGAGUAGGAUAGACUAAAGACCAUCAAACAUAAUAGCAAUAUGUGCAACAUCAAUCUAGCUAUGAUAGUGCAAAGAUAGCAAUCAAAUUUGCAGACAGAUAUGAAAGCCAAAGAAUGAAUUGAAGCCACUUUUUGGCUAUGGCCUUUCAGUGGUUUCCAUAACCAAUCAGAUCUAUUUGUAAGGGGAAACUAAUCACAUGCUACUAAAGAAGAUGAAUGGAAGAAAACCCCUCUAGAAAUUUUAGACCCAUUAUAUUUGUUGAACGGCUAAAACAACUCUUUGCUUUAUGUAGCACUGUUGUUGAAAGUACAAUAACCAAAUCAAAAACAUAUGCUGAUACUAAAUCGUAAUGUGAUAAUUACACACUCAUGCAAGCAAGACUUCCAAUCACACUAAAGUUUGAUUAAUUGAACCAUAGUAGAACAAUGAUUAAUUAUAAAAUCUAAUAUUGCCUUCGAAAAGUGACUUUUAAUAUAUGUAAUGAUGAUAGAUAGAUGUAGAAUUGAUGAACUAAGUCAGUAAAACUAUAUAUGCAUCACAGUAGUGCAACACCAAACACACAUCUCUAUCUCUUAUCUGGUGAAUAUAUACAUAUGUUUCACAGUAGUGCAACACCAAACACACAUCUCUAUCUCUUAUCUGGUGAAUAUAUAUAUAUAAUGGACUGAGAAAAACCUCCAUGAGUACUGGUCUCACAUGUUUCGUGGCUUACUUGAAAUGAGAGCAAGAUAAGAUCUUGAGUCAUCAAUCAUGUUUCAUCUUCAGCUAGCUGAGAAUCAGAGAGUGUAGUCAGAAAGAGGUAUGCACCUCAUUAUCGUUCUGUACCUACGGAUAAAUUCAUGUCAAAUGUUUCCAGGGAAGCCAAGGAAAUCAAUUUAUUGUUAGAACAUUGGUUUAGGCGUUUAGCAUAUUAGAAAGGAUAGCACCAGUUUUAAAAGUUUAACCUCAAUAGUAUAGCUUGAGCGAACAAAGAUAAGCAGUAAAAUCUCAUCCAUGAUAUGUAGUUCUGUAGUUGUAACGGCAAGCACCAACAAUAAUAAUUAAUUUCCUCGGUGCAAGAAGCCGGCAAAAAGAAAAAAUUACCAAAUAAAAAAGUUGCAAGGAAAAAAUCUACAACUUCUCCUUUCUCUCCCCUCAAUUCUUUCACUCCCUCAAUCCACUUCACUGACAAUGAUUAGGUUAAUCAAAACAUACACAGAUCAAUGUUUCACCUCCUAUAACAUAGGACACAAAUUUUAGAUGCAAAUUAAGAAAAACGAAUAAAAUAGAAUCACAUACAAAGGAGAAUCAGAAAACAUAAAAAACAAAUCAAAAUAUUGCAAAAUUUCAUAUAGAAUAUAAAAUGGACUCACCAUCCAUGGCUUCCAAAGAAUCUCUUUUGGUGGAAUAUCUAUAAAAAAAACCUGAAGAAAAGAAUUUGAAAUUAGCAUGGCAAGUGAUGAACGAAAUUGACCUUGAAGUCAAACAUGAGUGAAUGAAAGUUAAAGGUAAAGUAAAAUAAAAUUGAAAAAAACCAUAACAUAUUAUGCAAGCAAAGGAAGAAAAUAAUUUGAAACCUCCAUCUGCAACCUUCCCAAUCAGUCAAAGGCAGCAAAUCGGAGGGAUGCGAUUGCAAGUCGAUGGCAAAAUGGUUCCGUUGAGAGAUGAGACGAUUUUGUGGGGGUGGUUCCGUUCAGUGGAGAGAUGAGAUGAAAAUUGCAUGGAGGAGAUGAAUUCCAUGGAGGAGAUAGUGGAGGUAGGCAGGGUUUUAAGAGGGUUUUUGCUGAUGGGAUGUAUUAUUGAUUUAAAUCACUUAUCACAGAUUUUAUAUUAAGAUAAAAUCAUGAAAUAAACAACAUAAAUCCUAAUCAAAUCUAAAAUUUAAAAAUGUACUAAAUAAAUAUAGAUAAAAACUAU